UGAAACAGGGAUACUCGACUGC
rnacentral:siRNA from 1 species